UGAUGGUCCAGCUUCUCCAGAAACAGAGCUCUUCACCACGUUCCUAAAGGCUGGAAAAUGUCUUCCCAGUGCGGCUCAACAAGCAACGUGUGAACGUCUCAGUGGGCAGCGUAGAGAGACCGACUGGACCAUGGAAGUAAUCUGUGGUCAGGCUGGUCUCAUCAUCGUGUACGAGCAGUGAUUUUAAGGACUGUCCAACCUGAGAAUGCUGGAGUUUUUGGUCAAUCUCAGGUUCGUCAGCCCAUGAAAAACUGUCUCACUUGAACCCGCGCGGAUGAACGAUGGUUCUUCUAACCACCAGAAUGGCACUUCACCUUAUGGCCGAGUAAAAUCUGUGACACUGUAUUUGUGUAUUACUGGAAUAGACUUACAGACACAAAUACAGCAGAACUUGUCAUUUCUGGUAAGAUUUCUGGUAAAUUGAUGAUGAGUUGUAAAUUGAAAAAUCCCUCGCCAAUGUGGUUUAAUUGUAGAGUGUUAUGUGAGAUCUUUUUAAAGUUGGGUCAAAUGUUUAAUGCUGUUAAAUAUGUUUUUUGUUAGUCUAAAUUUGUCAAAAUCUUUUUAUUAAACUGAUUCACAUUAUAUUUUAUAUACAUUACACAUGUAUUUUUGGUUUAAAAAUGAACGAAUGUUGAGCAAUGAAUAAACUGCUUUACUUUCUCGUU